GAAUUCACUAGUGAUUAGAGUUUUGAUCCUGGCUCAGAUUGAACGCUGGCGGCAUGCUUUACACAUGCAAGUCGAACGGCAGCACGGGUGCUUGCACCUGGUGGCGAGUGGCGGACAGGUGAGUAAUACAUCGGAACGUAUCCUAAAGUGGGGGAUAACGCAUCGAAAGAUGUGCUAAUACCGCAUGUACUCUGAGGAGGAAAGUAGGGGAUCGAAAGACCUUAUGCUUUUGGAGCGGCCGAUGUCUGAUUAGCUAGUUGGUAAGGUAAUGGCUUACCAAGGCAACGAUCAGUAGUUGGUCUGAGAGGACGACCAGCCACACUGGGACUGAGACACGGCCCAGACUCCUACGGGAGGCAGCAGUG
rnacentral:rRNA from 1 species